GGUGAGGUUUCGGGUUUAGCGCUGGGUGAGGUUUCGGGUUUAGCGUUGGGUGAGGUUUCGGGUUUAGCGCUGGGUGAGGUUUCGGGUUUAGCGCUGGGUGAGGUUUCGGGUUUAGCGCUGGGUGAGGUUUCGGGUUUAGCGUUGGGUGAGGUUUCGGGUUUAGCGUUGGGUGAGGUUUCGGGUUUAGCGCUGGGUGAGGUUUCGGGUUUAGCGCUGGGUGAGGUUUUGGGUUUAGCGCUGGGUGAGGUUUCGGGUUUAGCGCUGGGUGAGGUUUCAGUGUUGGGAUAAAGUAUGUAAAGCCAAGCUAGUCUAGGAGGGGACAUCCUCUUGCUUUGGAGAGAUCUCCUCCUACUUCCUGGCUGUAUUGCUGGGUCAGGAAGUGAGGGGAAGUCUCCCCCAAACUAAGCCGCUGUGCUGUGGGAGUGGGAGAUAGAGAGCGCCCUGCGCAUGCACAGCGUUUAGAAUGAAGAGGAAUGCUGGAGGACGAGCGCCAACUGUUGGAACACCAUAUCAAGGAUGGAUGAAAUUUAUCAAAAAUAUAAAUGGAAGCACCACUCUACUGCUGAAAUGACUUUAUUCCAGAAGAUGUCAGGGGGGACAAUCCAAAAUAUUUCCAACACAUUUCAGGGUGCAAACACGCCCCCCUUCAUCAGGGCUUGACUGAAG